UACGUAGGUGGCAAGCGUUGUCCGGAAUUAUUGGGCGUAAAGCGCGCGCAGGCGGUCCUUUAAGUUCUGAUGUGAAAGCCCACGGCUCAACCGUGGAGGGUCAUUGGAAACUGGGGGACUUGAGUGCAGAAGAGGAAAGCGGAAUUCCACGUGUAGCGGUGAAAUGCGUAGAGAUGUGGAGGAACACCAGUGGCGAAGGCGGCUUUCUGGUCUGUAACUGACGCUGAGGCGCGAAAGCGUGGGAGCAACAGG
rnacentral:rRNA from 1 species